GGUUAAGCGACUAAGCGUACACGGUGGAUGCCCUGGCAGUCAGAGGCGAUGAAGGACGUGCUAAUCUGCGAUAAGCGUCGGUAAGGUGAUAUGAACCGUUAUAACCGGCGAUUUCCGAAUGGGGAAACCCAGUGUGAUUCGUCACACUAUCAUUAACUGAAUCCAUAGGUUAAUGAGGCGAACCGGGGGAACUGAAACAUCUAAGUACCCCGAGGAAAAGAAAUCAACCGAGAUUCCCCCAGUAGCGGCGAGCGAACGGGGAGCAGCCCAGAGCCUGAAUCAGUGUGUGUGUUAGUGGAAGCGUCUGGAAAGGCGCGCGAUACAGGGUGACAGCCCCGUACACAAAAAUGCACAUACUGUGAGCUCGAUGAGUAGGGCGGGACACGUGGUAUCCUGUCUGAAUAUGGGGGGACCAUCCUCCAAGGCUAAAUACUCCUGACUGACCGAUAGUGAACCAGUACCGUGAGGGAAAGGCGAAAAGAACCCCGGCGAGGGGAGUGAAAAAGAACCUGAAACCGUGUACGUACAAGCAGUGGGAGCACAGAGCAAUCUGUGUGACUGCGUACCUUUUGUAUAAUGGGUCAGCGACUUAUAUUCUGUAGCAAGGUUAACCGAAUAGGGGAGCCGAAGGGAAACCGAGUCUUAACUGGGCGUUAAGUUGCAGGGUAUAGACCCGAAACCCGGUGAUCUAGCCAUGGGCAGGUUGAAGGUUGGGUAACACUAACUGGAGGACCGAACCGACUAAUGUUGAAAAAUUAGCGGAUGACUUGUGGCUGGGGGUGAAAGGCCAAUCAAACCGGGAGAUAGCUGGUUCUCCCCGAAAGCUAUUUAGGUAGCGCCUCGUGAAUUCAUCUCCGGGGGUAGAGCACUGUUUCGGCAAGGGGGUCAUCCCGACUUACCAACCCGAUGCAAACUGCGAAUACCGGAGAAUGUUAUCACGGGAGACACACGGCGGGUGCUAACGUCCGUCGUGAAGAGGGAAACAACCCAGACCGCCAGCUAAGGUCCCAAAGUCAUGGUUAAGUGGGAAACGAUGUGGGAAGGCCCAGACAGCCAGGAUGUUGGCUUAGAAGCAGCCAUCAUUUAAAGAAAGCGUAAUAGCUCACUGGUCGAGUCGGCCUGCGCGGAAGAUGUAACGGGGCUAAACCAUGCACCGAAGCUGCGGCAGCGACGCUGAUGCGUUGUUGGGUAGGGGAGCGUUCUGUAAGCCUGUGAAGGUGUGCUGUGAGGCAUGCUGGAGGUAUCAGAAGUGCGAAUGCUGACAUAAGUAACGAUAAAGCGGGUGAAAAGCCCGCUCGCCGGAAGACCAAGGGUUCCUGUCCAACGUUAAUCGGGGCAGGGUGAGUCGACCCCUAAGGCGAGGCCGAAAGGCGUAGUCGAUGGGAAACAGGUUAAUAUUCCUGUACUUGGUGUUACUGCGAAGGGGGGACGGAGAAGGCUAUGUUGGCCGGGCGACGGUUGUCCCGGUUUAAGCGUGUAGGCUGGUUUUCCAGGCAAAUCCGGAAAAUCAAGGCUGAGGCGUGAUGACGAGGCACUACGGUGCUGAAGCAACAAAUGCCCUGCUUCCAGGAAAAGCCUCUAAGCAUCAGGUAACAUCAAAUCGUACCCCAAACCGACACAGGUGGUCAGGUAGAGAAUACCAAGGCGCUUGAGAGAACUCGGGUGAAGGAACUAGGCAAAAUGGUGCCGUAACUUCGGGAGAAGGCACGCUGAUAUGUAGGUGAAGUCCCUCGCGGAUGGAGCUGAAAUCAGUCGAAGAUACCAGCUGGCUGCAACUGUUUAUUAAAAACACAGCACUGUGCAAACACGAAAGUGGACGUAUACGGUGUGACGCCUGCCCGGUGCCGGAAGGUUAAUUGAUGGGGUUAGCGCAAGCGAAGCUCUUGAUCGAAGCCCCGGUAAACGGCGGCCGUAACUAUAACGGUCCUAAGGUAGCGAAAUUCCUUGUCGGGUAAGUUCCGACCUGCACGAAUGGCGUAAUGAUGGCCAGGCUGUCUCCACCCGAGACUCAGUGAAAUUGAACUCGCUGUGAAGAUGCAGUGUACCCGCGGCAAGACGGAAAGACCCCGUGAACCUUUACUAUAGCUUGACACUGAACAUUGAGCCUUGAUGUGUAGGAUAGGUGGGAGGCUUUGAAGUGUGGACGCCAGUCUGCAUGGAGCCGACCUUGAAAUACCACCCUUUAAUGUUUGAUGUUCUAACGUUGACCCGUGAUCCGGGUUGCGGACAGUGUCUGGUGGGUAGUUUGACUGGGGCGGUCUCCUCCUAAAGAGUAACGGAGGAGCACGAAGGUUGGCUAAUCCUGGUCGGACAUCAGGAGGUUAGUGCAAUGGCAUAAGCCAGCUUGACUGCGAGCGUGACGGCGCGAGCAGGUGCGAAAGCAGGUCAUAGUGAUCCGGUGGUUCUGAAUGGAAGGGCCAUCGCUCAACGGAUAAAAGGUACUCCGGGGAUAACAGGCUGAUACCGCCCAAGAGUUCAUAUCGACGGCGGUGUUUGGCACCUCGAUGUCGGCUCAUCACAUCCUGGGGCUGAAGUAGGUCCCAAGGGUAUGGCUGUUCGCCAUUUAAAGUGGUACGCGAGCUGGGUUUAGAACGUCGUGAGACAGUUCGGUCCCUAUCUGCCGUGGGCGCUGGAGAACUGAGGGGGGCUGCUCCUAGUACGAGAGGACCGGAGUGGACGCAUCACUGGUGUUCGGGUUGUCAUGCCAAUGGCACUGCCCGGUAGCUAAAUGCGGAAGAGAUAAGUGCUGAAAGCAUCUAAGCACGAAACUUGCCCCGAGAUGAGUUCUCCCUGACCCUUUAAGGGUCCUGAAGGAACGUUGAAGACGACGACGUUGAUAGGCCGGGUGUGUAAGCGCAGCGAUGCGUUGAGCUAACCGGUACUAAUGAACCGUGAGGCUUAACCUU
rnacentral:rRNA from 1 species